rnacentral:misc_RNA from 1 species
AAAGCUUCUCAACCGCUCCAAAUUUUGGCUGUGGCUUGGAAAUGGAGGUCGUGUGGGCUUUUAUGAAAAGUCUGCUCCUCUGAAACGUAUUAGUGGUGUCUGGGCUGACUACCACAGGUGUGAUAACUAUCAAUGCCUUGGUAACAAACCUGCUGCUUCCAACCCCUCUUGAAUGACCA